CGGCAAGUCCUCUGGCUUCCUUAUUGAUUUCAUCAAUGACAUUUGAAUUGUUGCAGCUAAAAUGACUCACGAGCAACAUGUUGAAUUUACGGGCAACCUGCGUACUGGAUAAAUAUGAUAGUUCACGUUAAAUCAACCAACAACAUGUAUUUGCAUAUAAUUGUAGUUAUAGGUAGAUCAUAAUUAACUGCCUUCUAAAAUGGCUUUUGGUACGUCUAUUUAUGGUUGCUGCAGGAUAGAGAAAGUUCGUCUAGACAGAAAAGAUGGUAUAGCGAAGGUGAUAGGCACUGCCUGCUGUGUGGUUGGGGCAUCAGUUAUUACUCUAUACAAGGGUCCCGCCAUAUAUAGCCCAGUUCCACCGCUACAAAGACCCGAUUCCAUGUUCGUUACUCUGGGUGAUGCUAAGGGCAAGAAUUGGAGUCUAGGUUGUAUAUACCUCAUUGGCCAUUGCUUGUCAUGGUCCGGUUGGCUCGUGUUGCAGGCACCGGUUCUAAAGAAGUACCCAGCUCGGCUCUCAGUCACCUCCUACACCUGCU
rnacentral:lncRNA from 1 species